GUAACUCUCUUUGCUCACUCAGAGUACAUUUCUCAAUAUGGAGUGGAGACGCUGCCAAGCUGGAGCACUUGCAGAUGAGCAGAGAGCUGGGUCGUUUGCCAGAGAAAGAGAGAACAACAAGAGUUCCAAAAUCAGCACUUCCUGGAAUUUGUUACUGGACUGUCUCGGAGCCUUUUUCAAGAAAUCUCCCACACUCCGGGCUUUGCGUCUCAUGCUGCUCCUGGUGUGCUGAUUAGCACAAUAGCAAAUACAGUCUUGGUCCUGCAUGCAACAGAAAGGAGCAGGACUGAACUGAGAGCUGGGGAUGAACAGAUGGAGAACUUGGGGGAUGAGGACAGCCAAUGUUUCAACUGAAACCAGCAUUUUCCAGUAUCCCUUAGUUUUCUAAAUCUCUUUGGCACUUUUGGAGAUUUCAUCCCUAGUGUAAUUUCAAGGGGGAAAAGAAGACGUCAUAACUCAGCCCAGCAGCCACAUGCAGCAUGAGCUGCAUCCUCAGCCCAAGGGGGAGAUGAGAACAGAUCCAUUCAUGAGAGGGAAUUCUGCCUUUUGCUGCUUUGCACUAGUUACACACUGCCCGGUGUUUGGCAUGUUAAUUGUGUGUUAAAUGGGGUUUGUUGCCUCUUCCUCUAGAAUUGAAAGUUAAAAACAUGGCCUUGGAUUGAAUGUCAUUUGGAAAAAUUGUGAUUUAUAAAAAUGAGU